ensembl:lncRNA
GUGGUUUGUGAGAACCAGGACCAAUAUGGAGUGGCGUUACAUGAGGGGGUUGAAUAAGGCUCAAUAGUAAGGUACAGAGAGAGCCUGAAGUUUGAUUUUUUAAAGUCUAUGAUGUGCUUUGUCAUCUCCAAUGGCAACGCCUUGCAUCACAAUGAAGAUGUCAUAAAGGAUAUUGUGCACAUAAUGAUAGGAACAGCCAAAAUCGAUUCAUUUAGAACUUGGUCGCUUUUCUAGUAGCCAACAAUUUACUAGGAAUUCAGAUAGGCCUAUUGCGUAAUCAUCUCUGGAUUGGGAUUGUCACUUGCUUAAUUGUAAGUAAAGGGGAAGAAAUGUGAGCACAUCGUAAAGAGAUGUAUUAUUCUUUGGUUAGCAACACGCCACUUACUACAAUGUUAUGUAUUUUCCAGAGUUAUUGUUAGCUAGGAGGAAGACAUGGACGGUUCAACGCUGACACAGAGGAGGGCUGAGUGUCAGUUGAAGGAAAGGGAGAUCCAGACAGACUACAUGAUGGAGCUAGGAGCCAGGUUGGCUCUGGUGAGACAGAUCCAGAGGGAGCAGGAGAAGGAGAUAAAGAGGAUUUGGUUUGAGACGAGGAAAAUGCCAAGCCUGAUUGAGGAGAAUGUGAGAGAUGUGACCAACCGUCCACUCACUGAGUUCAUGGCUCCCUGUAUUGACUCCCUCCCACCACUGGCUUUCACCAAUCGGAGGCCUAUACCAACCAUGUUGCAUCCCCCCUCUCCAUUGGCCAUAAGCACUCAGGAUGCACAGCGGUUCAUUGUAUUUUCCUACUUUGUCCCUGCUGAGUGCCCAGUUGCCACAGAGGCCACUGCAGAUGUAUCUACUGGUAAAAUAGAGGACUUGUCGACAGAUACACAUCUUUCCUCAAUGCUGCAUCGAUACCUGCCACACUUCUUUAACGAUGACUCCAUUCCACCACAGCAGACAGUAGAGGGAACCACUGAGGUCUCAGUUGAUCCAGUGGUAAUAUCUAGUAUCAAGGAAGAGGACAGAUUCUAUCCGUUCUCCCUCCCACCACUGGCUCAGCGGCUCAUUGGCAAUUCAUUCAUUGUCCCGGAAACAUCCCAUCUUGCUGUUUCAGCCACGGAGUGCCGAGUUGCCACAGUGGCCACUGCAGGUACAGCAACUGUCAAGAGAGAGAACCGAUGGGCAGCUAGAAUUCUUCCUUCAGUGCUGCCUCCAUGCCUGCCACCAGUCGUUGACAUUGACUACAAACUGCCAGGGGCGGCAGUAGAGGGCACCAGCAAGUGUCCAGUUGCCAGUGAAGCAGCAGCUUCCGUAUCUACUGUCCUCCAAGAGGAGUUUUUGACUGAUAAAAGUCCUCCUGCACCCACAGCACUGCCUCUAAGGCUGCCCUGGACCCACAAUAUUGACCACAAACAGCCAGAGGAGACCGUUGAGAACACCACAG